rnacentral:rRNA from 1 species
GUGUCAGCCGCCGCGGUAAUACGGGGGGGGCAAGCGUUGUUCGGAAUUACUGGGCGUAAAGGGCUCGUAGGUGGCCAUCUAAGUCAGACGUGAAAUCCCUCGGCUUAACCGGGGAACUGCGUCUGAUACUGGAUGGCUUGAGUGUGGGAGAGGGAUGCGGAAUUCCAGGUGUAGCGGUGAAAUGCGUAGAUAUCUGGAGGAACACCGGUGGCGAAGGCGGCAUCCUGGACCACGACUGACGCUGAGUGAGCGAAAGCCAGGGGAGCAAACGGGAUUAGAUACCCCCGUAGUCC